rnacentral:rRNA from 1 species
GACGAACCGUGCGAACGUUGUUCGGAAUCACUGGGCUUAAAGGGCGCGUAGGCGGUCUGCCAAGUCAGAGGUGAAAUCUUUCGGCUUAACCGGAAAAGAGCCCCUGAUACUGGCGGCCUCGAGUGGGGUAGGGGCACGCGGAACUUCCGGUGGAGCGGUGAAAUGCGUAGAUAUCGGAAGGAACGCCGGUGGCGAAAGCGGCGUGCUGGACCCUUUCUGACGCUGAGGCGCGAAAGCCAGGGGAGCGAACGGG